AGAGCAGGACGAAUGACCGCUGUUCCGCUUCUGGCGGAAGGGAGGAAAGUCCGGGCUCCACAGGACAGAGCGCUGGGUAACGCCCAGUCCCGGCGACGGGAAGGAAAGUGCCACAGAAAGGAAACCGCCCCCGGCAUGUUUUUAGACAUGCCGAAGGGUAAGGGUGAAAGGGUGAGGUAAGAGCUCACCAGUCCUGACGGUGACGACAGGAGCUUGGUAAACCCCGCUCGGAGCAAGACCAAAUAGGGGGGCGCUUAAGGGCUGUCCGUCCCAGCCCCCGGGUAGGUCGCAUGAUCCCGUCGGUAACGGCGGGGCUAGAUGAAUGGUCAUUGUCUCCCGGUUCACUUUUGUGAAAUGGGGGAAACAGAACCCGGCUUAUGGACUGCUCUAACA
rnacentral:RNase_P_RNA from 1 species